AGUGAACGCUGGCGGUAGGCCUAACACAUGCAAGUCGAACGGCAGCACAGUAAGAGCUUGCUCUUACGGGUGGCGAGUGGCGGACGGGUGAGGAAUACAUCGGAAUCUACUUUUUCGUGGGGGAUAACGUAGGGAAACUUACGCUAAUACCGCAUACGACCUACGGGUGAAAGCAGGGGAUCUUCGGACCUUGCGCGAUUGAAUGCGCCGAUGUCGGAUUAGCUAGUUGGCGGGGUAAAGGCCCACCAAGGCGACGAUCCGUAGCUGGUCUGAGAGGAUGAUCAGCCACACUGGAACUGAGACACGGUCCAGACUCCUACGGGAGGCAGCAGUGGGGAAUAUUGGACAAUGGGCGCAAGCCUGAUCCAGCCAUACCGCGUGGGUGAAGAAGGCCUUCGGGUUGUAAAGCCCUUUUGUUGGGAAAGAAAAGCAGCAGGUUAAUACCCCGCUGUUCUGACGGUACCAAAAGAAUAAGCACCGGCUAACUUCGUG
rnacentral:rRNA from 1 species